rnacentral:rRNA from 1 species
UUCGCAAUGCCCGAAAGGGUGACGAAGCGACGCCGCGUGAGCGAAGAAGGCCCUAGGGUUGUAAAGCUCUGUCGGGGGUUAUGAAAUGCAGGUUGGUUAAUACCCAACCUGUUUGACAAAGGCCCCAAAGGAAGCCACGGCUAACUCUGUGCCAGCAGCCGCGGUAAUACAGAGGUGGCGAGCGUUGUUCGGUAUUAUUGGGCGUAAAGAGCACGUAGGUGGUUUUGUAAGUCAGAUGUGAAAGCCUUCUGUUCAAAGGAAGAACGGCAUCUGAAACUGCAGAUCUUGAGUGUAGGAGGGGAGAGUGGAACUUCUGGUGGAGCGGUGAAAUGCGUAGAUAUCAAGGGGAACGCCGGCGGCGAAAGCGGCUCUCUGGUCUGAUACCGACGCUGAGGUGCGAAAGCUAGGGGAGCAAAAAGGAUUAGAUACCCUUGUAGUCCUAGCUGUAAACGAUGGGCACUAAGUAGAGGGGUUUU